ensembl:lncRNA
CCUUCUCUUCCCAGAUAAGAAUGGAGAUUUGAUGGGGACGUCCACUCGCCCUCUCCUCCACCAAGAUGAGCUAGAUGUAGGGAAUGAGGGAAGGUUUCUGGAAGAGGCACGUUAUUAGGACACGACCAAUGCACAUAGAGACACAAAGGAAAAAGGGAUUACAUUUUUUUUUUUUAUUAAUUUAUUAUAUUUAUUUGUCAUAGAAUUCAUUACUUUUUGUUCAAGGUUAACAUACAGCCAUUCAUAUACAGAACAAAGGUUUUUUAUUUUUCAAAAAUUAACUUAGAAAUGUACACUUUUUUGUGAUGAUACCACACGGAGGAGAGGGAAAACAUAAGAUAUUUUCUUCUUUGUAAAAUUCCACCAUCUCUCAGUCUUUCUCUCAUGGUUUCCUCCUUCUUUCGAGUACAGCUGCUGAAUACAGGAACAUCUAGGGCAUGUUCAUUAGGGUCCAUGACCAAAAACGAACCAGAACGUUUUGCAACACAGAAUAAAAAAUAACUUCUUAUUGGCCCAGGUCCAGAGUCCCUCCCCUGUGUCAGUCAGAUUUAUUUCAUGUGGUGCCAAAAUGAACUCGUCCCAGAAACUCACAUAACAGUUAACACAGACUGCUUGGACUGAUGCUGAUUGGUUAAGCAGAACAUCUAGCCAUGGAACAACACACACACUCACGCGAAAGCAGACAAACUCACAUGCUCACAUACACACAAGCCAGCACACACACACCCGCCCACACGCACACGCAGUCGAACAUGGGCUGGUGAUCAGAACAAAAACGACAACAAACAAGCAAAACAAUUCUGAUCAGACAAAGUAACAAAUGUAAAAUAUUGCUGAAGGUGAUAUUUCAAACAAAUCCAACAAUGACAAUUUACAACGCGUGUCAUCAAGGGGUAUGGGGAGACAUCGGAUAUGGUCGUCACACACUGUUGUCAUGACAUCACCUUCCUCUACUUAAGGGGGUGGGGGUAAGGUUACCGUGUUGAUUGUCCUUUGUCCUUGGAGUAGACAGCAAGGCUGGACCCCUGCGACACACAUCAAUUGGUUUUCCCGUGACUCACGGCGAUCAUCGGCCAAUUGCGUCGGCCUGAGUGCCUCGAAACAUACCGCAGUCUAGCUAUAGCCAGUGAAUAAACCCUUUCCACAGUGAAAACGUAGAAAAAGAAAACCUAGGAACACAAAACAGAAUUUGUGUGUGUGUGUGUGUUUAGAUGAGUAAGAGCUGGCAGGAAGCCAGGAUGGGUUAAUGGCCUGAAGACAAAACAGAGCACCUGGGACAAUCAGGGGGUGGCGGUCUGAAGCAUAGCACAGCCUGUCCGGUGCCAAGGUGGCAGGACUGUACGUGUGUGUGUGUGUGUGUGAGAGAGCGUAUGAGUGACUGUUUUUCAGUGUCUCUGGCACCAGACCCCCUUGUCAUCCAGUGGACCUUGGCCUUAACACUCUCAAGGGCAAGAUGGACCGCUUGUGCGUGUGUGCGUAAAGACGUCAUCCAUCCUUUUCUCUAGGAAGUCAGUAGAGAUGGGACAGGCAGUUAAUGACAACAAUUGGGUUUCUGUAUAGAAUGUCACCCUGCCCGUGUGUGCGUGUGUGUGUGCGCGCGCGCCGCGUCAGAAGGCAAAUCGUGCUUGGAGGGAGAAUAGGCCACCUUGUGGUUUCUGGGAGCUGAACAAAAUCAAAGCCUGUAUAGAAUACAACCGGUUAGCCUACUGUAAGCCCAUGAAGAAAAAACUAACUUGAAACGGUUGGCAGAAUUAGCCUAGACGUCGCUAACCAUUGUCUUUACCAUUGUCAAUGCAACACUAGUUAGCCAAAUGUGUGUGGCUAUUGCUAACUUCUCUAAAAUUAUCAAUGCCACACUGGUUAGCAAAAUUAGCCUUGCCACUGCUAACUUCCAUUCAACGUUAAAAGCAGCAAUGGUUAGCCUUCUUUACAAUGAUCAAAAACCGACAAAGAAAAACCAACAAAAACAAUCUGUAACCCACAUUCAAUACAAAAACACUUCUCAUUCACUGUAAGGUGCAAUUAAUUGUUUCAGACAGAAAUACAGCAAUCGCCAUCUGAGAUGUAAUUCCGCAUGCAAAAAUAAGCUUGUGUGUUAAAACAACGGACUCUCACUCUUUCAUCACCUCAGAAGUGAGAAUAAUUGAGGAAACACAGGGGAGAACCUCAGUACAAACAUUGAAAGAGUCAGAAGAAAAAUAAAACCAUAAUCCCAGUGUGGCACCAGUCAGAAAGGGGUUUUCCACCUGUCCACCCUCUUGCAGUACCAGUCAGAAGUGGUUUUCAAUCAUCUCCUCCGGACCCUCCCGUCGACUCACAUUCUCGUUGUAGACCUGAACUAGCUCACCCGAAUCAAGCGGCCAUGGGCUCGAUAAUAAGUAACAAGUUGAUUCAGGGGAGCCGGCUCUGAAAUAAAUUCGAAUACAUUAACCGGCUGGAGGUCCCUAGGACGGGUUUGAGAACCGCUGUCCCGCAGCAUGUCGAGAUAUUUCGAUUAUUCUCCUUGGUUCCGCGCCCAGAAAGGCCGGAACUGGUUCAGAGUGGUUGAGACGGACAAUGACAGACAGUUGACAUUCACUGAACAAUGAGAUCCUUUAGGGGCCAAACAGAGGACAGUCAGGGCGGACAAAGUAGCUACAGUAGUCAGACGGGCCAUUUAAAUGUAAUCAGCCACAGGGUGUGUGUGUGUUUGUCCCAACCAGAAAGCAUGUCGGAUUUCCAACUGAGAGGCAUCAUGAAAGAACGACCCCUCACUCAUGACAAAAUAGCACAAAUAGCACAGGAAGUUAAGGUGGUUAAGGUUACUGAAAACAUACAUAAUAGCAUUACAAUGAUUGGCAACUGAGUAGUUUUGACCCAAAAUGAUCAAGGAAGGGUAGGUGCAGAGCUCUUUGUUUCAAUGGCGUGGGUAAGAUUCUGUAAUUGGAAUAAAACACCACUACUGUACAGAAGGGGCACAAGGCUUCAUUGACAGCCGUUGUUUUGACCCAAAAUGGCAGAACAGUCCCUUCUCGUUUUGAAGGCGGAGCUGGAACAUAAAGUGGAACGACACUCUACAGAACAAGCAGAAGGCGGGUAGUACUAAGAGCUUUCUGACACCUUUAAAAGACAUUAAACAAGAAGCUGCCAUGUGUGAGGUAAAAAACUAAAAUGAAAGUAAAAUACAAAACCAGAAACAAAUGACCGCGACCCUCACCCUUUUCUCAACUCAUGGUGACAAUAAACCAGAGUUCAAAAAAGAACAAGAUGACUAAAUUACACAUGAAAGUGCAAACAAAAUGAAUUUAAAAAAUGUCCUCAUACAGUAUGUGAACAGUUUUUCUUUAGUUCCACCCAGUGCAUCAAUAGAAAAAUGUCCACUUCUGUUAACACCGUGUUGCUCUCUGUUCCUGUCUGACAUAGUUUUCGGCCGGAGGCUUGCUUUCACUUCCUCUGUCAACCUUUUUCUCUUGCAUUCUUUCUUUCUCUCGCUCUCCUGUCUCUUUCCAACCCCCAUCUCUUCUCAGUCUCUCUUCAUCUCUCUUCAGUCCAACAAGUCUUUAACUGUGAACUCUGUGUCCGAGGGGUGGUUAGGUGUGUGUGCGCGCCCAAGCACAGGAAGGAUUAAGGUUAAAUGUUAACACACACCACAUGCACACACAUUCACCGCACACACAGAAACUGAACUAAGGGCGUGUGAUGGACAGCCAUGUGUUAUGUUUAUGUUUGUUUGUGUGUGUAUAUAAAUGUGCGUGUGUGCGUAUGUGUGUGUGUGUGUGUGUGUCUGAGAGUCCAUCUGUCGCUCUGAUGCUCCAAUGUUGACUCUUUGAUCUGCGUUGACACAACAUAUGGCCUCCUGGUUCUUCUCCCUCCCUCCCUCCCUCCCUCGAUCCCUCUCUCGAUCUCUCUCUCCACUUUCCAAGCCAACAGUCUGUCCUGAUAGAAAGCGUCUGUGGAGACACCUCCCAAACGGCCCCCCUGUUCCCUGCAUAGGGCUCCCGCAGGACUCUGGUGAAAACCAGUGCACUGUGUGGGGAAUAGUGUGGCAUUAGGGACAGAGGCAGACAUUCAUACCACUAAUAUUCUACACAGCGUCAGUUGUUAUUCAUGUUGUCAUCACACCAGAACACUGGACAUUUUCUAACCGACGUUACCCCAGUUUAACGUUGGAGGACGCGCACUGACAUUGUUGUUUUAAAUUCGAUAUUACAUAAGGUAGCUACCCGGUAAUGUUUGAAUAAAGGGAAGGUAGCUACCCGGUAAUGUUUGAAUAAAGGGAAGGUAGCUACCUGGUAAUGUUUGAAUAAAAGGAAGGUAGCUACCCGGUAAUGUUUGAAUAAGGGAAAGGUAGCUACCCGGUAAUGUUUGAAUAAAGGAAAGGUAGCUACCCGGUAAUGUAUGAAUAAAGGAAAGGUAGCUACCCGGUAAUGUUUGAAUGUGAGUGGAGAGUAGACCAUGUUAGCGGUUGGACAAAAGGGUUUGGGCUAAGGCAAGGGUUCAUGACGAUACAUCAGUCAUUGAGACGCAAGCAAACUAACACACACACACAAACAUUUCACUCUGAAGGGCUGGAAAGGUACUCCUCACACACACUCUUAAGGAGUAACUGGAUUGUCACAUUACGGCACAUUCAGAAACUACAUCUGCUACCACGGCAACCUCUCCGUCACAAUGACAAGAACCAGGGAUGGAGGGAGAUGAAGGGAGAUAUGGGCGGAACAGAGAAACACCUGAACCCCCGGACCCACCCUGACCCCCAGACCCACCCUGACCCCCGGACCCACCCUGACCCCCGGACCCACCCUGACCCCCGGACCCA